AAGUCGAGCGAGGAGAUCCUUCGGGAUGAUCCUAGCGGCGGACGGGUGAGUAACACGUGGGCAACCUGCCUCAUAGAGAGGAAUAGCCUUCCGAAAGGGAGAUUAAUACCUCAUAACAUUGCAGUUUCGCAUGGAACAGCAAUUAAAGGAGUAAUCCGCUAUGAGAUGGGCCCGCGGCGCAUUAGCUAGUUGGUGAGGUAACGGCUCACCAAGGCGACGAUGCGUAGCCGACCUGAGAGGGUGAUCGGCCACAUUGGGACUGAGACACGGCCCAGACUCCUACGGGAGGCAGCAGUGGGGAAUAUUGCACAAUGGGGGAAACCCUGAUGCCAGCAACGCCGCGUGAGUGAUGACGGCCUUCGGGUUGUAAAGCUCUGUCUUCAGGGACGAUAAUGACGGUACCUGAGGAGGAAGCCACGGCUAACUACGUGCCAGCCGCCGC
rnacentral:rRNA from 1 species